GACCUCAGGUCAGGCGGGGCUACCCGCUGAGUUUAAGCAUAUCAAUAAGCGGAGGAAAAGAAACUAACAAGGAUUCCCCUAGUAACGGCGAGCGAACCGGGAAGAGCCCACCAUGAGAAUCGGUCGCCUUCGGCGUUCGA
rnacentral:rRNA from 1 species